rnacentral:rRNA from 1 species
AUACGUAGGGGGCGAGCGUUGUCCGGAAUGAUUGGGCGUAAAGGGCGCGUAGGCGGCCCGGUAAGUCUGGAGUGAAAGUCCUGUUUUUAAGAUGGGAAUUGCUUUGGAUACUGUCGGGCUUGAGUGCAGGAGAGGUAAGUGGAAUUCCCAGUGUAGCGGUGAAAUGCGUAGAGAUUGGGAGGAACACCAGUGGCGAAGGCGACUUACUGGACUGUAACUGACGCUGAGGCGCGAAAGUGUGGGGAGCUAACAGGAUUAGAUACCCUGGUAGUCCACACUGUAAACGAUGAAUGCUAGGUGUAGGGGGUAUCGACCCCUUCUGUGCCGCAGUCAACACAAUAAGCAUUCCGCCUGGGGAGUACGGCCGCAAGGUUGAAACUCAAAUGAAUUGACGGGG